GAUGAACGCUGGCGGCGUGCCUAAUACAUGCAAGUCGAGCGAACAGACGAGGAGCUUGCUCCUCUGACGUUAGCGGCGGACGGGUGAGUAACACGUGGAUAACCUACCUAUAAGACUGGGAUAACUUCGGGAAACCGGAGCUAAUACCGGAUAAUAUAUUGAACCGCAUGGUUCAAUAGUGAAAGACGGUUUUGCUGUCACUUAUAGAUGGAUCCGCGCCGCAUUAGCUAGUUGGUAAGGUAACGGCUUACCAAGGCAACGAUGCGUAGCCGACCUGAGAGGGUGAUCGGCCACACUGGAACGGAGACACGGUCCAGACUCCUACGGGAGGCAGCAGUAGGGAAUCUUCCGCAAUGGGCGAAAGCCUGACGGAGCAACGCCGCGUGAGGGAUGAAGGUCUUCGGAUCGUAAAACUCUGUUAUUAGGGAAGAACAAAUGUGUAAGUAACUAUGCACGUCUUGACGGUACCUAAUCAGAAAGCCACGGCUAACUACGUG
rnacentral:rRNA from 1 species